UACGAAGGGGGCUAGCGUUGCUCGGAAUUACUGGGCGUAAAGCGCACGUAGGCGGAUUGUUAAGUCGGGGGUGAAAUCCUGGAGCUCAACUCCAGAACUGCCUUCGAUACUGGCGAUCUCGAGUUCGGGAGAGGUGAGUGGAACUGCGAGUGUAGAGGUGAAAUUCGUAGAUAUUCGCAAGAACACCAGUGGCGAAGGCGGCUCACUGGCCCGAUACUGACGCUGAGGUGCGGAAGCGUGGGGAGCAAACAGG
rnacentral:rRNA from 1 species